UCGGGAAUUUUGGGCAAUGGGCGAAAGCCUGACCCAGCAACGCCGCGUGAAGGAUGAAGUAUUUCGGUAUGUAAACUUCGAAAGAAUAGGAAGAAUAAAUGACGGUACUAUUUAUAAGGUCCGGCUAACUACGUGCCAGCAGCCGCGGUAAUACGUAGGGACCAAGCGUUGUUCGGAUUUACUGGGCGUAAAGGGCGCGUAGGCGGCAUGACAAGUCACUUGUGAAAUCUCUGGGCUUAACCCAGAACGGCCAAGUGAUACUGUCGCGCUAGAGUGCAGAAGGGGCAAUCGGAAUUCUUGGUGUAGCGGUGAAAUGCGUAGAUAUCAAGAGGAACACCUGAGGUGAAGACGGGUUGCCGGGCUGACACUGACGCUGAGGCGCGAAAGCCAGGGGAGCAAACGGGAUUAGAUACCCACGUAGUCCCUGAGCGGGCUGGCAAGGCGCAU
rnacentral:rRNA from 1 species